rnacentral:rRNA from 1 species
UACGUAGGGAGCGAGCGUUAUCCGGAUUUAUUGGGUGUAAAGGGUGUGUAGGCGGUUUAUUAAGCCUAAGAUCAAAGCCCGAGGCUCAACCUCGGUUCGUCUUAGAAACUGGUAGACUUGAGUAUAGUAGAGGCAAGUGGAAUUUCUAGUGUAGCGGUUAAAUGCGUAGAGAUUAGAAGGAACACCAGUGGCGAAGGCGGCUUGCUGGGCUAUUACUGACGCUGAGACACGAAAGCGUGGGGAGCAAAUAG